rnacentral:rRNA from 1 species
AUAAGCGGAGGAAAAGAAACUAACAAGGAUUCCCCUAGUAACUGCGAGUGAAGCGGGAAAAGCUCAAAUUUAAAAUCUGGCGGUCUUAUGGCUGUCCGAGUUGUAAUCUAGAGAAGUGUUAUCCGCGCUGGACCGUGUACAAGUCUCCUGGAAUGGAGCAUCAUAGAGGGUGAGAAUCCCGUCUUUGACAUGGACUGCCAGGGCUUUGUGAUGCGCUCUCAAAGAGUCGAGUUGUUUGGGAAUGCAGCUCAAAAUGGGUGGUAAAUUCCAUCUAAAGCUAAAUAUUGGCGAGAGACCGAUAGCGAACAAGUACCGUGAGGGAAAGAUGAAAAGAACUUUGGAAAGAGAGUUAAACAGUACGUGAAAUUGCUGAAAGGGAAACGCUUGAAGUCAGUCAUGUCAUCCAGGGAUCAACCUUGCUUUUGCUUGGUGCACUUUCUGGUUUGACGGGUCAGCAUCAAUUUUGACCAUUGGAAAAAGGUUGAGGGAAUGUGGCAUCUUUGGAUGUGUUAUAGCCCUUGGUCGUAUACAAUGGUUGGUAUUGAGGAACUCAGCACGCCGCAAGGCCGGGUUUUUAACCACGUACGUGCUUAGGAUGCUGGCAAUAUGGCUUUAAUCGACCCGUCUUGAAACACGGACCAAGGAGUCUAACAUGCCUGCGAGUGUUUGGGUGGAAAACCCGAGCGCGUAAUGAAAGUGAAAGGUUGAGAUCCCUGUCGUGGGGAGCAUCGACGCCCGGACCAGACCUUUUGUGACGGUUCCGCGGUAGAGCAUGUAUGUUGGGACCCGAAAGAUGGUGAACUAUGCCUGAAUAGGGUGAAUCCAGAGGAAACUCUGGUGGAGGCUCGUAGCGAUUCUGACGUGCAAAUCGAUCGUCAAAUUUGGGUAUAGGGGCGAAAGACUAAUCGAACCAUCUAGUAGCUGGGUC